rnacentral:rRNA from 1 species
GACGAACGCUGGCGGUGUGCUUAACACAUGCCAGUCGAACGGUAAGGCCCUUUCGGGGGUACACGAGUGGCGCACGGGUGAGUAACACGUGAGUAACCUGCCCUCAUCUCUGGGAUAACAGUCGGAAACGGUUGCUAAUACUGGAUAUGAGCUUGCAAGGCAUCUUGUGGGUUGGAAAGAUUUUUUUGGUUGGGGAUGGACUCGCGGCCUAUCAGCUUGUUGGUGAGGUAGUGGCUCACCAAGGCUUCGACGGGUAGCCGGCCUGAGAGGGCGACCGGCCACAUUGGGACUGAGAUACGGCCCAAACUCCUACGGGAGGCAGCAGUGGGGAAUAUUGCACAAUGGACGGAAGUCUGAUGCAGCAACGCCGCGUGCGGGAUGACGGCCUUCGGGUUGUAAACCGCUUUCAAUUGUGACGAAGCUUUUUGUGACGGUAGCAGUAGAAGAAGCACCGGCUAACUACGUG